GAGGCUCUCGAGUGCAGUAGGUAGCGCAUCAGUCUCAUAAUCUGAAGGUCGUGAGUUCGAUGUUGUUUUCUACUUGUCAGUGUGCUGUCA